GAUUUGUCACAACGGCUUCCUGACGUGGCAACGUAUUUAAACUGGAGCA
rfam:Marinosulfonomonas sp. PRT-SC04 contig_12586, whole genome shotgun sequence.